CUCUACCCCUCAACUCUAAACCCCAAGUCUAGAUUAGUUAACCCUAUGAGUAUAAAUGUUUUUUUAUCCUUCAUUAAAAAUGAAGGUAAAAGUGGUUAGUGUAAACAUGAAAAGUGGUACUAUGAAUGUGGUAUUUGUGGUAAUUUCUCCAAAAUCUUUUAAGAAUCUUUUCAGUUGCAUUUUUCAAAUUUAUUUCUGAAAAUUGAUUAAUUUAAAAUUUUCUUAUCAUAAAAUAUAAUCAUAAAUUUAAUUUAAUUUAUUUUUAAUUUAUAAACGAAACUUAAAAAUUAUAUAAAAUAUAUUAAUGAUAAUAACAACUCAACAUUAUUAUUUUUCAAAAAUAGAUUUUACAAAGAUUCUGUUGGAAAGAAAUAUCCAUUUCUAUUUCUAUUUAAAUUUUAAAAUAAAUAUCUUAUUUAUUAAACACAUAAGUCAUGACUUAUUACAUGUGUCAUUUUUUUAAUUAAACUAUCUUUUUGAGGUCACAAUUUUAAAUGUAUCUAUCAUGUAACAUUACAAUUUAUGUCAAUAAUUUCUAAGACAACUAUAAUAUUCUUAUUAAUGGUUAAAUUUUAAUUUACACCCUCUUUCGAAGAUGAAACAUUUAAUCUUUUUACAUAUGGUGUAUAUAAAGUUUUACUCAAUUAUUAUUAGCGUUUAUAUAUUUUACUGAGUACUAUGUCAUCCAUACCUUCUGCAUGUCGAAGGUAGAAGAUACGGACAGUUCCGUCAUUCUGCACUCAUUAAACCUAAAAUUAAAAUAUAGUCCAACACAUGCACCAACUCCUUCGAACCCAAGACCAUAAGGUUAACCAACACGGCUAUAAACACUAGGGCAAGCUGAUUUUCUUAGUAUCAUUCAUAUAAGAUACAUAUUAUACAUUCAUGUAUUUUAAAAAUUAAAAAUAGACUCAAAAUUAAUCCAUGAGUAAUCCAUGAUAAAUCCUUGAUUUUUUCAUUAGGUGCUAGGUCAUGCCCGAACGUACGGAUAGCGCCUAGCGAUUUUAUUAGCAAGCUCUAAAACGCUCUCUGUGCACCCGCUUAUUCGCCAGAAAGCUGUUACAUGCUGAUCGACCAUGGCGAAUUAGAUUUAUUCGAGCAAUUAAUCGCCCCAAAGUGAAAAGUUCAUUGUUUUGUACUUGUGCAUCUAAAAAUCGCACGCUAUGCUAUAGAUUUUAUAUACUUGGGUUAAAACUCGUAAGAUUAUGACAAAAUACAAUGAAAUCGUGAAAAACAAAUACAAAAAACAAUUGUUGAGUUGCAUGUCGAAGGUAGAAGAUAAGGACAGUUUCGUCAUACUGCACUCAUUAAACCUAAAAUUAACAAAUAGUACAAAACAUGCACCAAUUCCUUCUAACCCGAAACCUUAAGGGUUAACGUCCUCGGCUAUACACACUAGGCCAUGCUGAUUUUCUUAGUAUCAUUCACAUAAGCUACAUAUUAUCCAUGUAUGUAUUUAAAAAAAUAAAAAUAGACUCAAAAUUAAUCCAUGAGUAAUCCAUGAUAAAUCCCUGAUUCUUUCAUUAGGCACUAGGCCGUACCCGAACGUACGUAUUCCGAACAAUGAUGGUAUGGUAUACUUAUUAUUAUUUUGUUUUCAAAUUCUUAAUGAAUAAAUUAAAGAAAAAUAAUAUUUUAAUAGAAAUAUUUUAUUUUCUUGUAGGAAUAUUGUAAGGGAUAAUGUAUCUCAUGAAGGAACAGAAUGAUCAAUCUUUUUCCAGUGUCAUUUCGAUUAUGGUUGAUUUUUUACAUUCAAACCAUGCAGUUGUAGUGGUGGUUUAGCUUAGGUUUGUUUAGCUAAGUUUUUUAAAGGUAAAAUGUUAAGAUUUUCUAGCUAAAUUUUUGUUGAUGGUUUUCUUUUUCAAUAAUAACAUUAUUGGUUUAAAAUCAUUGAUUAAUGAUAACACAUACAUUAUUUUUAUAAAAAUUUAUUAUUUUUAAUUAACUUAUUACUUAGAAAUAGGAAAAACUAAAAUAAGUAAACCAUCCAAUGAAUGCAUAACCAAUUUAGCAAUUUAUCUAUAAAAUUCAAUGAAUAUCUAAGUAAUAAAAGAAAAAAUGAGAAAAGAGACAAAAAACAUAAUUUAUUUAAGAUAUUAUGAAGUAUUCAUAAGACUUUUAAUUAGAUUUGUUAAUGUAUAGAUUACUUACACUAUUUUAAAGAUUUAUAUUAAUUAAUUUAUUUAUUUUUAUUAAAAGAAUAAUCUUUUAUGAUUUAUAUUUUAGAUACUAGAGUACUAAGGUUGCUCUUACAUAAUUUUAUAUAUAUAAUGUCUCAGCUGUACGUCCCUAGAAAAUACAACCAUCAAUUAGAAAACAAACACAUCAUUAAUUAGAAGAGUAUUAGGAUUAUGUCAUCAUCACAUCUUGCUAUCAUGUGUCUCAUCAUGAUUUCUCUUGUUCCUCUACAUCAAUUGGGAAAUGCAGAUGGUUUAGAAUUCGACAGAAAAUGCGUCCGUCUCCUUGGAUGUACCGGAAGACGUUGUAUUUGCUGUAACAACGCACCGGAAAUAUUAAAAUGUUAUGAUACACAAGCAGCAUGCAUGGCUCAUUGCACGAACCCAACUAUUUGAGUGGCUUAAAUGUUAAAAAAAAAAUAAAACAUAACCAUGUAUCUCAAUAAAUAUAAUAUAUAUUAUAAAAUAAAGAUGUUAAUAAAAUUUUACUUUGGGUAUCACAAUAUAUUUAUAUAUAUAUAUCUAGCAUCUAAUUUAUAAUAUACGUAUGAUUAAGAAUAAUACAAAUUUGUGUAGCAGAAAAAAAAAUGAUUUUGUCGUUGUGUGCAACACUGUUGACAUGCUUCGACAUUCACAUUUUCUCUCUUCUUUUUCUUUGUAUUUUGUAUUCUUGAUCUGCUCUUUUUUUCUCUACUUGCAGUUUGUACAUGGUUUUAAGCUUCUCAAUAAAAAAAUAUCUUAAGCUUUUCUUUCUCGCUAAAGUUUCCCCUACUAUAUACUACCAUGUUCCUCGUUACUUUUCCUCAUACUUCCACACAAACAGAUAUAAUAUCGAUCCACACAAACCUCUCGUCGUCAAUCGAUGGUGACGUGCUAAGACGAGCCGACUUGUUCGUGGCCAACUUAAGCCCAGAAGAUCCACAUAAUUAUAAGACUACCAUUGGCCGCCUUUUACCUAGUAUUUAUGUGUCUGCCAUUGUAUUAGGAAAAAUACAAUGUUUUAUAUCUUUAUUCACAUCAUAUAGUUUUAGGGUUUUCAGUAGAUUUGUAACGAAGAUCCAAAACUCCUUUAGAGCUCGUAUUGGAACUCCAUUGAUUUAUUACUCUAUUCUAUUUAUUCAUUUUAUUAAGACUAUUGAUAUGUUUUGCUUUAUCAUAUCUGAGUAGUUUUCCUUGUUAGAUUUAGGAUUAAUUAAUGUUUUGAUGCAUUAGCCAAAACUAUUGAAUUGCUAGGAUGAUUACAUAGAUAUCAAUCAUUAGAAUUGCAUGUACAUACUACAUGUCGAACAAAUAAAUAUCAAUCAUUAGAAUUAAUGUUUGACAUGUACAUACCACAUGUCGAACAAAUAGAAGAGAUUCCUUCAUAUGAAACAAAAUACCUCUCACCAUUCACCAUCACUGUCUCCUUCAAUGGCUUAUUAAAGUUUACCUCCACACAAAUUCUCGCAUAUCUAGCUCUUUUAAAUUUUAAAGUUGUCAAAUCUACUUUGAUCGGCCGCCCUAAACCUUUGGCUAUUCCCAUCAGUAUCGUCUUAUGGUAGAAAUUCACUGGAAUAUGUGAUAAACGAAUCCAAACCGGUGUCGUAACUAUCUCAUCCUUCAACGGGUCGAACACAGGAGACCAUGCUUGUGCCAUAAGGUAACUGCCAAACGCCCUCCACGAGCCACCUGAUAGUGCAGCCAUGUACUCCUCCUCCAACUUAAAGCGUACCAUAAAGAAGUGUCUGGGAAGAUCCAUAACAAACAUCGACCUUUUAGGCUUCCAUAACUCCUUUAUCUUUCAACUCAGACUCAAGAUCGGGACGUUUCUCCCCAGAACACUAACGAUCAUAUAUCUCUUCCACAAGCCAUUCAUAGCCGUCAACACCUCCUCUCCUAUCGUUAUCACCGGUUCUCCAUCCUCCCCAUUCGGAAAUUCCAAUCUUAAUCUCGACUCCACAAACUUUUCAUCCACAACUUCCUCUGGGACAAGCAUCCAUCCCUCAUUGCACCCUACUACUUUCCUCACCCAAGAUCCAGGAGCAUCUGGCGGCUCUCCCGGUGGCCUUCUCUUUUCUCUGAUAUCCUCCAUAGUAGCAUUUUUUCCUUCCUCCUCCAAAACCCUAAGAUCGCCUCCUGAAACUCUAGCCGUCAUGUUUUAUGGAGACUUUCUCUGGCUCUUUUUCAAGUUAUAAUAUAUUAAUAUGCAGCUUAUGUACUAGACUUAUAAAAACAUUCAUUGCAAUUAACUAAAAAAACCCACUAUAUUAUUUUACUUAGUUAGUCAGAAAGAGUUAAUUUGAUUAGUUAACUGUUUGUUUCAUUUUUAAUCUAAAGAUUUUUUUUCAGAAAUAUUAAAAUUUUGAAAACUAAUUUACCAAUUCCAGAUACAAAGAUUAUGAAUUUCAUUCUUAUAUGAAUAACACCAUGACUUUAAUAUUAAAUAUAAGUUGUUUCUUGAAUCUUUGUAUUCUUUUACAUUAGUAUGAAACAGUCUAUGUUUUAGAUUUUACAGAGAUGACAUUAUUUAUAGUGUUGAUACAAUUCAUGUACAGUAUCCAGUGUGUGGGCUUUUAUCCAGUAUCCAGUUACCGAACAAGAAAACUACAUAAGACCCAAUAGAGUUGUGAUAAAUCGUAGAGUAUUAGUUUAUGGAAUUACCCUUCAUGAAGCUAGCGAUUUCCUUUGUAAAUGAGUGGCAUAUGUAGUAAACAAAAGGGUAGCGUAGAGGUUAAAAUAGAUAGGAUCCUGCUUUAUCUUGGGAUUAUCGAUCAAAAGACAAAUGGACUCUUACUCAAGCAAGUUUUUGAACACACAGGUAGUAUUUUCAAGUUUCUUUCCUCUUUAUGUUCUCACUUCUCUCAGUCAUGUCUCUCUUUUAUAAAUGAUAUCAUUUUAUUUUUUUAAUUGACUGAGAUAUUUGGACAGGUUUGCAUGACCAUCUGGUUCUGCAGGUGGAGCCUUCCAAGGAGUCAUUCACUUUUGUGGAUUGUUCUCAGAUGAGCUCAGGAGGAAUUGUAAGAGACCUAGAGGUGCAUAUUUGUAAUGCCCUAGUUCCAGUUGAUUUCCAUGUCUUGGAUAUCAAGCUAAACUGGAACUCUUCUUUAUUACUUGGGAGAGCCUUCCUGUCAACAGUAGGAGCAGUGUGCAACAUGCAAACCAACCAAUUGUAACUGACGCUCAUAGAUCCUCAUGUCCACUACAACCAUGUUCCAGUCAAGAAGCCAGAAAACGUCCUCCAGAAGAAUAGAUGAUCCAGUUUUCAUCGCAGCAUGCCACUGUGGAGCCGAGUAUGAGACAGGAUAUUCGGUGUCGAUCGAAACUCACACCACCACAUCGAUCGACAGUGCCCACCAGAAACCGAUCGACAGUCCGAAGGAAGAAUCGGUCGACAGCAGUCCAAGCGAUUGGGAGAACGACUACUACAAUCCCACCAUGGCAACACACACCAGAGACACCAUGCAUACAGAGGAGUAUGAUGAAGAUUAUGAGGAGGAACGAGUUAUAGAGUACAUAGCCAUUCUUGAUGAGGAACAUCUACCUCUCCAUCAUUCCUCUUGGAAAGGGAAUUCGCCGUCGAUCGACAUAAUUGUCUCAACAUCGAUCGACACUCAUCUUCAUCAGACAAGCCAAAAUCGAGCAUCAACCGACAUUACCUACUACCCAUCGAUCGACACAGGAGUCGACCGUGCACGAGAAGGGGAUUACUCGAUUGGCAGUUGGGCUAAUGAUCACCAUCACGAAAGUUAUGCAGUCAAAACAGCAGUACAUGAGCCAGGAGCAGAUGAACUUCAUGAAGGUUUCACAUAUGAGGAACUUCUCAACAUGCAAAGAUGUGAUGAAGCAUAUCAACACCAAGCAGAAGCUUCUGGGGAAAGAACACCUUUCAGCCAUACUUUCGACAGAGCCAACCGCCCGUCAAUCGACGACAAACAUCCAUCAACGAUCGACAUCCGUCUGAAACCACCAUCCACUGUAGCGAAAACCCUAAUUAUGAUAAUCAGUAUCUAACACAUGAUGAGUUUGGUAUUUUCAGGGACCCAGAUGGCUAUGCAAGAGCAAUAGGUGGACAUGCACUGCAAGUAUCCAGAGAAGACAUUGCAGACAUUCUUCAGAUGGCUAAUGGAGCAGAUAAACUCUUCAUGCAACAAUGCAACAGUCCAGCACAUCAGCAUAGGGUUACAAACGAGUUCUAUGACACAGCUGGUGGCAUAGACAAUUGCCUCAAGCAGAAGUAUAGACAUCCUACUCGACCGUCGAUCGACGUUGACGUCCCUUCAUCGAUUGACAGACGUCCAGAAUUUGGCAAAAGAGCAUAUGACCGUUAUGGAACUAAGAGAUUCCACUGGGAAGAAAAAGAUGAGUAUGGAGUCUACAGAGAUGAUCAGGGACAUGCCAGAGAUGUAGACAGACACAUCAUCAAAGUAUCCAAGGAUGAUAUCAGAAGUCUUUUGAAGAGAGCUUCGAGAGAUGAGCACAGCUACAUAUGUCUUCCAAAACAUGCUAGCUCAUUCACACAUACCAAUUUGGUACCAUAGAUCUACACCAAGGACGAGAUCAAUGAGAUGUUCUAUGGAGUCUGUGGAGCCCAAAAAAAGAAUGAAGAUGAUUUACAGAUGAAGCUUGAUGGUGUCUACUAUCUACUGAAUGAUAGCAUCAGUUGGUUAACCACAUGCAUGGAGGAGAUGAGGCAAGACAUAGUCAAGACCCAAACACAGCGUGCAGCCGAAGCAACCGCACCAUCAUCGACCGACAGACACCAUUCAACAUCGAUCGAUGACGACCCACACCACUCACAUCCAAUGAAGUCUCCACCAGAUUCUUACACGAGAGCAGACAUUGAUCAGUUGGUAGAAAAGAUCUAUAAAACUCUGGAAACUACAGAAGAAAGGCUUGAUAGGAGAUGUGAUGACAUCUAUUUCCCGAUGGACCUUACAGUGAUACAAAGCUCGUCGACCAGAAGCAUCAACAUCGAUCGACAGACGCAACAACAAAUCAACCGACAGUUGCAGACGAACAUCAGUCGACGAAGCUACAAACCUAGGCAGGCUAGUACCAAAGGUGAAAUCAGACAUGUCUGAUACACACAACCAUGGAGAGGAGAUCUCAGCUGACACUUACGCCACACUUAUGAGACAUCAGUUCAACUUUGAAAGUCUUAAAGAUAGAUUGCAGAAGAUAGAGAAAACAACUGCAACAAUGAAGGACAAAUGGCACAGAGGAGAUGAAGCAAUGCGAGACUUCACUGGUACAUGGUUCAACAAGCGCAAAGAAAACAUGGACACUUGUUUCCCAGCGAGUUCCAGCUUUCAACCUUACUAGCCAAAUUGCCUCCAAAGUCAAGCUAAAUGACUAUAACAAAGCGCUGAGUGUGAGGCAACCCACUAUUAGAUAAUAUUUAAUUGAUCUUUAUUAAUUUAGUAUUUAUGCUGGUUUUUAAUUAUUGCAGGUAAGAAAAAACAAAAAAAAAAGAUCAGAGUAGAUGAUUACUAUGAGUAUCGACCGACGAACCACUGCUGACAUCGAGCGACAGAACAUCACCUGCUGUGACCGAUGUCAACACAUUUACAUCGAUCGACAUCUAAUUCGUUCUGGUAUAUCGUUCUUAACUUGUUACAUUGAGUCCUUAUGUUUUAGUUAUUCACAUAACUUCGGCUGAAUUUACACUGGGGACAGUGUAGUUUAAGUAUGGGGGAUGUUCACUGAUAUUAGUUUAUUCAUUAGUCUUAAUAAAAUAUUUUCAAAAAAAAAAUUUAUUAAGUUGAGAAGGGGAUAAUGAACUUUUUUAUUUUUGUUUAUUAUCUAACCACACCAUUAUAGACUUCUAGUUGCAGAUAACACUAACGAUACCAAAGUGGAUCAACCUGUCAACUAUGUUACACUUGCUGAGAAUGAUUUAAGGAACCAAAGCUGACCUCCAACUUAAUUGAGCUCAACUCUGCUUGUCUUGGGGUUUGGUAUAUAUGAGAUUGGAUUCUUCAAACAAGUCUGGAAGGUAAAGCCUUGUGUAAAAAUAUCACCAUCUCUCUCUUAAAUUUCGAAUUUAGGUUUUUAUAUUAUAAAAAAUUAUUAUUAUUUAUAAUUAGAAAUAGAGAAAUUUAGGAAAAAAUUCGAACAUGACUUGGUGGCUACAACUAUUAAGGCUUGCUUCAUAAGAAUUCUAUAGGUAAAGGAUUAGAACAUGACUUGAUGGCUACAACCAUUAAGGCUUGAUUCACAAAUAAUUCUAGGAAAUAGGUCAAAAAGAAGUGAACAUGAUUUGAUGGCUAAAACCAUUAAAGCUUGAUUCAUGGAAGCAUAUCCAACCUUGGUCAAUGAUGUUGCAAUUAAGCAGAUUUUGACUAGGGGAGAAAUUAGUAGAGAGAGAGAGAGGAUAUGAACUAUUAUUUACCUGCAGGUCCAGAUACUUGUUUGAGCAUCCUUGCAUCAUGUGAUCGAUAUCCCCAAGGUUAAACCUACACUUUAUUUAUAUAAGAAUUGUGGUUGGUAGAAGAGAUUGUCAGACAUGAUUUGCUAAGUUGUUGACUAGAUGAACUUGGUUGCUAUACUAGGAUAUGGUAUAGUGUGCUUCUGAGACUAGGACUUUCUAAGGUGUUGGUUCUAAGUUUUAAAAUUUGUGAGACCCUGCUGUUUUCAACUUUCAGAGAGACGGCAUGUAUGUUUUGUUUGAGGACAAGCAAAAAGGUAAGUCUGGGGGAGUUGAUAGACCAUGGAUUUGACCCACUUUUAUCCAUGGUUUAUAAGUGUUUUAACUACUAAUUAUUAUAUUAUAGAGUCUAUUUAGUAUAUUUAUAGGAUCAUGAGUGAUUUGGAGGAAAGUGAUGAUUUUGGAGCAUUUUUGGAGAUAUUUGAAGUAAGCACCCGGAGAUGACCAUCGAACACGACCAUCGGUUGACAUUGAAGAGGAAUAAUCGUUCGAUGUUCACAUCUUGACAUCGAUCGACAGCGAAGCGCGCAGGAAUCUCGGGACAGAAGAAACAUAAUGGGUAUGGUGAUAUUAUGCUUUGGCCCAUGAAGAUACAGCUGAGCGUCAGCUGAGAUCACGCUUUAUAAAGUCAUUGUCAACUGAUUAAAGAUUGUAUCGUGAGAUCUUCUUCUGUAACAAACAAACUGAUCUAGUGAAUUCCAGGAUGGAGAUCCUGAAGAGAGAAGUACCCAGGGUUAAGGGGAACUCUAUAAUAUCUUGUGUCUUUGUACUUUCUUUACAUUCUAAUCGCGUAAGCACACGAGUGAGCGAGAGAGAGAGAGAGAGAGAGAGAGAGAGAGAGAGAGAGAGAGAGAGAGAGAGAGAGAGAGAGAGAGCGAUAGAGAUCGAGUAGAGAACGAACGAGAUAUCAAGAACGUAUCUUCUACAAUAUCAAUUAACCAUCAAUCACAAAUUUAUUUCUCAACUCGUCAUUAUCUAAAUAAAUUCAAAACUAUUUUGGAAGUUCCAAGGAACAAUAAUAGAACGACAAUUCCACAGAAACAGCUUAAACAACAAAUCAUCAUCUUAUCCUGUAAGAAUCAACACAAUCAAAGAUUAUAGAUAAAGAUAACGUUGUGACUCGCGUACUUCACUCGCAAG